ACAACAUUCGGACCGUCGGUCUACCGAGCAAUAUCACCCGCUCAGAGGAAGAAAGAUCCCAUUUCAC
rnacentral:pre_miRNA from 1 species